AAAGAGAGAGACAGAGAGAGAGAAGGAAAUUACUAAAUGGAGGGAAGCUUUCCGAAUAAAAAUUAUUCAUAUCAGAUGUACACAUGAAAUCAUCGUGCUUCCCUAAAAUUUAUCUUCAUGCAGUUCAUGUUUUUGUUAUAAAUCCGUACGUCAGUCGCCUGAAUUCCAGGAUGGAGUAUCAGAAAAUAACUUUUUGACAUGGGCAACCAACUAAUUAACAAACUAGUCUUUGUAAAUGAUAAUACAUAUGUUACACAGUGACUUGAUUCUUAGCAGUUAAGAAUGCUUAACGAUAAAUAAUUUAUUUUAGGCUUGUGGAUGAUAGCUGGAGAAGUUGUCUUUAAUUAUCAAAGACUUAUCUACUAGGGAAAUAAUAAAAUAAUAAAAAAGGAAAUGCAACUUGUGAAAUUGCACAUGAAGCAGCAACUCUUGGACCCAUUAUUGCAGACUUUUGCAUGCUAUAUAUAUAUAUAUAGGAGAUCAUUUCUCCAAUUUGUGGAACCCAGUUCUUGAUAGUGUAGUGUAGCCCAAUCUUGAGAGAGAAAAAUUAGAGAGAAUUUUUGUUGUGAGAUUUUGGGUGUAAUUGAGUUUAAAGGUUUGAGUAAUCUGUUAGAGAAAAAAAUAUUUAGUAUUUGUAAUUAUUUUUCUCAUAAUAGAAUAUUUAUUUAUGAAAUAGGCUUACAU
rnacentral:misc_RNA from 1 species